rnacentral:ncRNA from 1 species
GCCGAUAAAGCCAAACUCCAAGCAAUUGGGGGGCGGGAAACCACGGGUCCCUCUGGGAUAGCCGAGUUGCCGAAG